rnacentral:rRNA from 1 species
UACAGAGGUCUCAAGCGUUUGUUCGGAUUCAUUGGGCGUAAAGGGUGCGUAGGCGGCGCGGUAAGUCGGGGUGUGAAAUCUUGGAGCUUAACUCCGAAACUGCAUUCGAUACUGCCGUGCUUGAGGACUGGAGAGGAGACUGGAAUUUACGGUGUAGCAGUGAAAUGCGUAGAUAUCGUGAGGAACACCAGAGGCGAAGGCGGCUACCUGGACAAUUGCUGACGCUCAGGCACGAAAGCGUGGGGGAGCAAAAAGGG